CUGCUGUGGAGAAAUAAAAUGAAUAUGAGUAUCCAAUCCACCGGCAGUUAAAAUGAGUCCUUCUGCAGCAAGCGCCUCUGUGGAAGCGCCGACCGUCAUUCCCGGAGUCACACCAUCCAUAACUGCAGGAUUUCCGGCCUUUCCGAUGCCUGCAAUACGUCCGUUUUUAAUCCCUACAUCAGCUUUGUAAAUACCUGUAUAAUCUACGAUCAGCGCAUUAGUAAUUACCAGAUCCAGAUCUCCGUCAGCACUGGCAGUGGUCACCGACUGGCCCAUGCCGUCCCGC
rnacentral:sRNA from 1 species